rnacentral:snRNA from 1 species
GGGUGUGAGGGUGAUCUGGCUGUGACAUCUGUCACCCCACUGAUGGCCAGUGUUAAUUCGGCUGAUCUGGCUGGCUAGGCAGGUGUCCCUUUCCUCACUCACCGCUCCAAGUGCAUUCUUCCCAAAGCUGCGCACUCGGUCGAAGAGGACGACCAUUCCCUGACAGAGAAGGACUGGGGUUUGCUCAAGGAUAUAUGACUAGCUGUGCUCCACUGCUAGAACCUCCAAACGAGCUCUCAAGGCCCAAUAGAUAUAUAGUAUUUAAGAAAUGCAGUGCAGUUAACAACUAUUCCACUACCGGCUUUUCCUAAGAUUAAUUUCAUCUUA